AGGAAUGGGAUAUAAAUACACACGAGGCAGGCGAUAGCGAAACUGAAUGUGCUUCCGUCGAGUUCGUCUCUUGCUACAUUGACUCAGUAAGAAAAUAUUCUGCAAACGACGUCGUGUUUUAUAUCCUUGAUGUUGCAAGAAUCCUUCGGACUCGGUUCUUCUAUCCCUAAAUGACACUACCAUCUACUUAAAUCAACGACACUGUUAAAUGUGUCAAGCACAUCCAGCACAGAGUAGUGGGAAAAAAACUACGGAGAGCCUAAAUUGACAUGAGAAAAGUCAACCGAUGGCAUUAAACUAACAAGUUGUUCGAAAAGAACUGCUUAAUUGAACUGCCAUGGCUUAGCAAACGGGACUAGUACCACUUCUACUUCGUUCAACUAUCCAUCAAUGGAUUGAUGCUGCAACAGUACUUCGGACAACCGACUUGAGAUCUGCACAACCUUGGCAAUCAAUAAAAGCGCCACCAAGGAAGAUGGUGUAUGUUGUGAAUUACAUCGUGCAGCACCUAACAGUUCCAGGAAACCGAACAGCUCUACUGUACUUCCGAGCUAUUGCUUCGAUGAAGUUUGAACAGGAAAAAACAUCAGACAGCCAAUAGCUAAAUUCCAAGACAAAUAGUGGAGUUGACUCUGGAGAAAAUGUGCAGCUGUUUGUAGGCAGAAAGAGAAGGUAAGAAAUGAUAAUCGCGAUUUAGACAAAAUUAUAGAGAACAUUCAUUCUAAAUGUACUGUAGG